rnacentral:misc_RNA from 1 species
UUGCCAUAAACUUCUACGCGGAAGACAAUAGACUCAGACAAUAAGACGCGUAAUAAGUCUGAGUCACGACAGCCUGGAAAUCCUUGAUCUUCCAUCCGUCAUUUCGAUAGUUACUCACGAAGAAAGAGAAGCAAGAAAAAAAGAAGGCGAGAAAAGAAACGACUUUCGUGAAACCAUCGAGGUCGUUUGCGAGGGUGUCGCUCCCAUCGUGAUUUUUUGAACACCGACAAAGAAGCAACGCAUUCUCACAUACCAGCUGGUUCUCGUUCCGUGGCGAAGGUCCCGAGCAAUUUCGUGGCACCGUAUACCCGUGUUCUCCACUUCCGGUUUAGCCAACGGUACCUUGUAGGGUUAUCGAACGUGCGUCUGCCAGGACUACCGUCUGACAUCUCUGUGAACAGGUACAUUAUAACGUUACGUGUGUGUACAGAAAUCGACGAGCAUGUUGUGGAUAGUCGGCGGUAUAGUUCGUCGAACAAACAAUAGUUACCUUCAAAUCAAAUUGCGAAUGAAUCAAUUUCUUCUUAUGUUGUCACACCAUUGACAGAAAUUUUAUGAUAGCCUCUGUACUAUAUGUACAUAGACUGCAGAAUCAACCUAUAAUUAGAAAAAUUACAAGUAUUUACAUUAUGUGUAAAAUGUAUAUUAUAGGUUAAGGUUAUAAUA